CAGCAGCCGCCGCGGUAGUACGAAGGGUGCAAGCGUUACUCGGAAUUACUGGGCGUAAAGCGUGCGUAGGUGGUGGUUUAAGUCCGUUGUGAAAGCCCUGGGCUCAACCUGGGAAUGGCAGUGGAUACUGGCAAGCUAGAGUGUGUCAGAGGAUGGUGGAAUUCCCGGUGUAGCGGUGAAAUGCGUAGAGAUCGGGAGGAACAUCAGUGGCGAAGGCGGCCAUCUGGGACAACACUGACGCUGAGGCACGAAAGCGUGGGGAGCAAACAGGAUUAGAUACCCCAGUAGUCCCUGUCUCUUAUAC
rnacentral:rRNA from 1 species